CGGGGCCGUGGGGAUGAGCCCGGCUCCAACUGUUGCUAAGUGUGGGCUUCUGGGUUUGUCCACAGGCCACAGUGCUGUGGAACGGGAGACAGACUUGAUCUGAUAACGACGCAGAGUGACUUUUCGGGUGCAGAGCCAAUGUGCCCUGGUGGGAGCAAACAUGGGACACGAGGGGAAGCACAGGGGGUGCCUGCCUGUUCUCGGGACAGGAAGUCGGAGUGGUUGUGAGUGUGGAAGCCACGCAGGUGCUGCCACCCAGCUCCAGGAUGAAGCUAGCCCCGAGUGCUAGCUGGUGACGCUGCCUUCCACGGAGGCCCCACCCAGCACAGUCUGAAGGGAGAAGGGAGCAUCUGGAACGAAGCAGAAUAGUGCCUCCUACCCCCACCGUUGGCAGGGCAGGCCUCCCUCAUUCCUGCCUUCCACUCUGCUUGGGAGCCUGGGCCCACCUCCCUCACCACCCAUCGUUUGAGCUGCACCUGUGGCUGGUCUCAUGACACAUGGAUUCCAAGCCUGCACACCCUGCGUUGGACAGGAGAUUGCCUGCUGAGUGGGCACCCACACCUGCACUCAGACCCUGCCUACCACCAGUCUCCCACGCCCACGGCCCAGCCUGCCAGUGCCCAAACACUGCUGGUUCUUCACCAUCCCAGGGCCUUUGCACCUGCUGUUCUUUCAACCUGGAAUGCCUGUCCUGUUCCUACCUACCUGGCAGUUCUCAGCCAUCCCUGAGGACUCACUCUCAACCCAGGCCCCCCAGCCUGCCAAGACACAGUCUCCCCUCCUGAUCCAGGAGAGAGAGGACCCCGCCCAGACUCUGGCCUAACACCUGUGCUUUUUGUCUGUCCUUCACCCUCUCCUGGUGCACCACGUGGCAGGGCCAUAUCUGAUUCCCUUUGUGGCCUAGGUCCUGAGGGCUCUGGGCCAGCCUGGCCAGGAUUGGGAUCCCCACCAGCUGUGUGGUUUGGUAAGUCACUUACUUCUCAGAGCAGCGGUCUGCACCUAAAGACCUUCCUGAUGGAGCCAAGGGGGCUGAGCAGGACGGCCUGACACAAAAGCCACCCCAGAAGGCACUGCCUUUCUUGUUGGCAUUAUUGGCAUGAGGGCAGUUUAACAAACACCAGUGCAGGGCGGACGCGUGGAGGUACAGGGCCCGGUGGGGGAGCUGAGAGCAGCUCUGUGGCUUUCUGCCACAGUUUCGAGUCUUGGAUGUCCUGUGGGCA
rnacentral:lncRNA from 1 species